GCGCAGGUUCCUCUUCCAGGUGCUGCUGGCAGUUAUUUGUGUGCUCCGGAGCUGUGGCCCUGCUGGCACGCUGGCUGCAAAGGAAAAUAUUGCCGCCGUUACGCAGCGCUGUGCCCUGAGGCAGCAUGUGCUGCCAGCUGACUUGCACCUGCUGUGUGACUCCUGCUUUCAGGUGGAUUAUGAACUUCAGUAAAAGUGAUGUGAAGGACAAAGGCGCAGAGCCAAAGUGGUGUGUGCUGUGGGGUAAAGCCUUGCCAAUGGAAGUCAUCCUACCCGCGAUGCUGUCUGUGUUCCAGGCUUCUGCUGUUUGAAAUUACACGCCCAACAGGCCCUAUUCUCUGCCAAGAUCCAUGAGGAACUUGUGAAACGCUCACAAAUAAACUUCUACACCGCAGCUUACAAAUUGGAACUGCCAAGCAAGCAGGAGUGGCUGCAGCAGCUCUGCCUUGGUGCGGCUCCCUGCCGGGACCAGUGUCACCUCCUGCAGAAAUGCACAGUUGUCUGCAUGCAGGCAGAGCGCAUCUUCAUGUGGAGACUUCUGUAAUUAGGAGCCGGGUUGACACCAGGCAGUGUUUUUAAAGCAGGGUAUGGAGUCGUUGUUUCCACCUUUGGGAGGAAGGUUGGAGCCUUGUCAUCCGCCUCAAGGACCUGCGUAGGUCAACACUUCAUUUUACACAGACUCAAGCCUGUUUGAGAUACAGCUCUCCUUUACCGGGACAAUAAAGUGAGUACAAAAGGACUUGCAUAGGAAAACCUCUUGUGGCACUCAGAAGAAAAAUCAAAAUGAAGAGCUGUCGUAGAUUUUAUAUGCAGUGUGUGUAGCCCUGCUCCACAAAGGCAGGUGCCUGUCAUUGCUAAGUAGUGAGAUGCAGUGACUGCUCUCGGAGGAGCCGGACAGGAGGGAUGCUACGUGUGAGCCCCAGCCUGGCAGCUGAAGAAUUAAAGCGCAGCUAACACAGCCCAGGCUAUCUGUGCACACAGAGCUGAUGUUGCUCUUUGACUCCAUUUCCUUCGAGUGAGUUUGUGUUUCUUCUGAUGUGGGUGCAUGAGAGCAAGUGCAACCUUCCUCUCUUGUAACUCAUGUUAAUGCUGCUCACUUGGGUUUGUUCAGUACCCAAGCACCACUAGCAUAUAAACAACUUUUGAGUUGGUUUCAGAACUGCUUGCAAUACCAAAUGGCACAAUCAAGUGUUCCUUCACACCCUCCUCAGCUUCUGUUUCCAGGGUGGCAGCUUAAAACCAUGCUCUCUUUUCCCUUUUUACUCACCAAGAAUGUUCUGGCUGUCUUAGGAAUUCAGUAUUUGUUUUUACAAACUUUUUUUUUUCCUGGAGCUUGUUUGUUGAGAACCUUCUCAGUGUGAAAUUAACUUUGAAUCUCAUUAAACUGGUAAGGUAUUGAACUGGCAUCUGUAGAUCUAAAGACCUGCCUUAUUACAGAGAAAUCCUCAAAGGGAAGUUAUUUGGCCAAAACUAUGAUACUUUUUCUCAGUAUUUCUGCAUAUUAACUUCUGAAUAUAGAAUCUCAGUUAUCGUGGGCUUUUGUUUCUGAUUCUGUGCGGAAAAAAAUGAAAAUACUCCAUAGUAUGCAAAGUGUAUGGGAGCCCUUUAACUUUAAAGUGGGUAGUGAUACAAAAUAUUUACUGCAUGUUUUCUGUG